GAAGAAUGUGAAAGAAUGGAUCCAGAGCCUCAAAUGGUGAAGCAAGCUAUGAUUUUAUAGUAGUGGAGGAGAUUCAAUUUCUGAGGUUAUUAGCGGAUAUUUGUGGCCAUUGAAGACAGUUAGUAGGUUCAAUGAUGAGGUUAUUUGGAGAACAAGCACAUGGUUUGAAGAAUGAAGGUGGAAGAAAUGAAGAGAAAUAGGUUUAGGAUAGGAAACUUGACUUGUUAAAGAAUGGUG